UACGAAGGGGGCUAGCGUUGUUCGGAAUUACUGGGCGUAAAGCGCACGUAGGCGGAUGUGUCAGUCAGGGGUGAAAUCCCGAGGCUCAACCUCGGAACUGCCUCCGAUACAGCACGUCUCGAGUCCGGAAGAGGUGAGUGGAAUUCCUAGUGUAGAGGUGAAAUUCGUAGAUAUUAGGAAGAACACCAGUGGCGAAGGCGGCUCACUGGUCCGGUACUGACGCUGAGGUGCGAAAGCGUGGGGAGCAAACAGG
rnacentral:rRNA from 1 species